AUGGCACCAGGCUCUGCAUCAGCACUAGGCCACAGUUCACAAGUGAUGCUUCCCGCUUUGCUCCUGUUUGUUCUGUGUCAGUGUGAAGUGUCACAGACAGAAGAAAGUCAAGCUGGUGCUGGUGACACGUGCAAGGGCUGGUUGGGGACAUCCCCUGUCCAGAUGGAGCCAGGCUCUUUAUCUAAGGACAGAAAGGAGUGGUUUCCCAGGCCCUGGUCAGCUCAGGAAAGGAAGUCUGACACCAAGGGACCCUGGCACCUGCUGCCCUCUUUGCUUGAGAAAGUGACCGUCUACCUUGACUUCAACAAGCUCUUGAGAGGGGAAGAGCCAUGGCAAGGGAGAAAUAAAGUACAUGAACUAGGGAUUUUAAGAAUUCACUCAACUGGAUUCAACACCCCCCCUUCCAUCUUUUGUCAGCUGAUGUAAAAUCAGAAACAUCUCUACUGAAGACCUUUCCUGCAGUGAAUCUUGCUCCCACAGGAUUCAUCAUGUUGCCAUCAGUUGAUUUGGUGCAGAAAAUGAUUUGGUGCAGAUGAUUGAGCAGUCUGCAGCCUCUGCUAAGUUACCCACUUGCCAGCAAGCUGAUUGGAAAGGCUCUCUGUCCCAUUCCUCAGCGAUUACUGUAAAGCCCGAAUUAAGUCUUGCAAGGACUUCAGGUCAGUAUGGGU
rnacentral:lncRNA from 1 species